GUGCUCAGCUGGGCAGCACAGACACUCAAACUGGAACGACACAGAGAUGACUGGCAUGGGAGCUGCCAAGGAUGGCAUACAUAUUCAUGAAGUGUUGCACAGUUUU